rnacentral:lncRNA from 1 species
AACACUCCAUUUUGUAUUUAUUUACAAGAUACUUUUGUUGAAAGUUAACAUGGAUGGUUUUUCCUAAACUAAAAUUUUCUCAUUACAAAAGAAAUUCGGUUGCAGAGAGCCAGCUGGAUUGAGUUAAAAGAAAGUGCCAGCUGCUUAAAUUUAAAAGUAUGUAGAAAUUGUUUCCUGAGGGAGUUCUCUCAAAACUUAGAAUGUUUUUUAUGUUGGUCAUUUCCAUUUCCCUUUCCAAAUGACCGAUACAAACAGCAACCCUACAGCAUUCACUAAGUAAUUUUCUUCAGCAACUUUCCCCCUUUGCUCCAAUUUGAGGUUUGGGGACUUAACAAAAAAAAAAAAAGGCCACUAAAAGGAUACUAACUUGCCCCAAAUAAAAUCUGUGAGUUAUAUACUGAAACAAAAAUGCCAAUUCAUAAAUGAACUUCAAAAAGAGGGGGGAAGUCACCUACAGCCUACUUUUUCUGGAAGGUAUAAUUUUGCUCUGGAAAUAAAGUGAAAUAUUCUCCAUCUCAUCUAGUCCCCAAACGAUGACUAGCACAAGAAGGUAAGUAUCAAUGUUUCCAGAAAUUUUCACUUCAAGACUAAGUACAUAUAUGUACUAAUAGAUAAGGCACUAAAUGGUCACAAUGCUUUAUGUAAGUCAGAGAACCAAGGAAAAACUAAAAAAAAAAAAAAAAAGGUAACAUUCUGCACAAGUACUUCAUGUGUUAAUCUGGGAAACAUUUUGGCUGUUGUCUUGUGUUCCAUCCAGGUAGUUAAAAGAACCGGGAUACAAAAUUAUGAAAAUACCAUAUUAUGAAUUUCUGCAGUCUCAAUUAAACAUUAAGUUGCAUAACAAAAUUAAGCAGUUAACUAGGUUUAUCAAGACAAAUUUUCAGUAUCUCUUCUCA